rfam:Dipodomys ordii contig_96782, whole genome shotgun sequence.
GGUGGCUCAGUGGUAUAGUGCUUGCCUUGCAUGCAUGAGGUCCUGGGUUCGAUUCCUCAGCACCA